CCUUAGGGCAGCCCGGCCCCGCCGGUCCGCCCCGAGGGCUGCUCCGGGCUGCGGCGGCCGCGGGGUGCGCACGUCGGGGCGCAGCGGGCGAGCCCCCCCCUCCGCCAGCCCCGGUCCGGAGGAGAUGAGCCCCGUGCCCGCGGGUAACGGCAGCGCCUGGGGGGCAGCGGCGGCGCUGGGCAGCGGCGGUAACUGCAGCGGGGCCGCCAGCCUGAGCCGGCAGUGGGUGCUGGGGGCUGCCCUGAGCAUCACGGUGCUCGUCACGGUGGCCGGUAACUUGCUGGUGAUCGUGGCCAUCGCCAAGACGCCGCGGCUGCAGACCAUGACCAACGUGUUCGUCACCUCGCUGGCUUGCGCCGACCUCAUCAUGGGCUCGCUGGUGGUGCCGCCGGGGGCCACCAUCCUGCUGAGCGGGCACUGGCCCUACGGCACGGUGGUGUGCGAGCUGUGGACCUCGCUGGAUGUGCUGUGCGUGACGGCCAGCAUCGAGACGCUGUGCGCCAUCGCCGUGGAUCGCUACCUGGCCAUCAUGUCGCCGCUGCAGUACGAGGCGCUGGUGACCAAGGGCAGGGCACGGGCUGUGGUGUGCCUGGUGUGGGGCAUCUCUGCCUUCAUCUCCUUCCUGCCCAUCAUGAACCACUGGUGGCGGGACGGGGCGGACGAGCAGGCGGUGCGCUGCUACGACGACCCGCGCUGCUGUGACUUUGUCACCAACAUGACCUACGCCAUCAUCUCCUCCACCAUCUCCUUCUACGUGCCCCUGCUCGUCAUGAUCUUUGUCUACGUCCGCGUCUUUGCCGUGGCUACGCGCCACAUCCACCUCAUCGGCAAGGACAAGGUGAGGUUCCUGCAGGCCCCCCCCAGCCCUGGCUCUAGGAGAAGCCGGCUCAGGCGUCCCUCCCGUCUGCUGGCCAUCAAGGAGCACAAGGCGCUCAAGACCCUGGGCAUCAUCAUGGGCACCUUCACGCUGUGCUGGCUGCCCUUCUUCGUGGCCAACAUCAUCAAGGUCUUCUGCCGGGGGCUGGUGCCGGAUCAGCUCUUCCUCUUCCUCAACUGGCUGGGCUACAUCAACUCAGCCUUCAACCCCAUCAUCUACUGCCGCAGCCCCGACUUCAGGAGCGCCUUCCGCAAGCUGCUCUGCUGCCCGCGCCGCGCCGACCGCCGGCUCCACGCCGUGUCCCGGGACCUACAGCGCUGCCCCUGUGCCUUCAGCCCCACGGGAGCGGCUCCCUUGGGAGACAGCAAAGUGGGAGCCCCCGGGGAGGAUGGGAGCCGGGUGGAGGAGACCAGCCUGUCCCAGGGUACCCAGACAGCGCUGGGUGCACAGCUUGAUGAGUAGGUUUGCCGGCAGAGAGACACCAGCAGGUCCCUCCGUCUGACCGGGAGCAGCUGAGAGCCGGGAACAGCGUGAGUGCAGGCCGGGUGCUUCAGAGGGACUGGAGGAGCAGCGCUGGGGGUGACGGCGCUGGAAGGAGCCUCCAGUGCGCUGGGAGCAGAGGGAUGCUCCCUCGGGAGCGCUCGCGGUCACAGCAGGGACCAGGGAGCCGGCUCCUCAGUGCUGUUGGUGCUGGAGAACUGGAGCCGGUUGGGAAAAGGCACCUGAGCUGCUCUCCAAGAGGCAGCGCAGCCUUGGGGACGUGCCUGUGCUCGCUGUGUGGACGGGGACCAGCUCCCAGCCGGGGUGUUUCCUGGCUGGAAGCAGGACGUCGUGGGUCUGCUCUCUGGAAGGAUGAAGAAUUCCCAUCGUCCGGGGCCCAGGAAGCCCAUCAGGAAGGGGACAAGAGCCUCCUGCAGGAGAGCAAGAGGAGCUCCGAGCAAGGGGAACCGGGCAAACCCUGUGGAUUAU